rnacentral:rRNA from 1 species
ACUCAAAUGAAUUGACGGGGACCCGCACAAGCGGUGGAGUAUGUGGCUUAAUUCGAUGCAACGCGAAGAACCUUACCUGAGUUUGACAUGCUAGUGAAAAGCGGGGUGAAAGCCCCGUAGUGAAGCAAUUCACAGCUAGAACAGGUGCUGCAUGGCUGUCGUCAGCUCGUGUCGUGAGAUGUUGGGUUAAGUCCCGCAACGAGCGCAACCCUUGUGGUUAGUUGCUACCCGAAAGGGGCACUUUAACCAGACUGCCUAGAUUAACUAGGAGGAAGGUGAGGAUGACGUCAAGUCAGGAUGGCCCUUACACUCAGGGCUGCACACGUACUACAAUGGCUAGCACAAUUAGAUCCGAAAUCGCAAGAUGGGGGAAAUCGCAAAAGCUAGUCUAAGUUCAGAUUGCAGGCUGCAACUCGCCUGCAUGAAGUUGGAAUCGCUAGUAAUGGCACAUCAGCUACGGUGCCGUGAAUACGUUCCCGGGUCUUGUACACACCGCCCGU